rfam:Camelus ferus unplaced genomic scaffold scaffold279, whole genome shotgun sequence.
GAGGGUCUUGCUCAGUGGUACAGCACGUGCCCAGCAUGCACGAGGUCCUGGGUUCAAUCCCCAGUGCCUCCU